CCUACGGGAGGCAGCAGUAAGGAAUAUUGGACAAUGGAGGCAACUCUGAUCCAGCCAUGCCGCGUGAAGGAAUAAGGCCCUAUGGGUUGUAAACUUCUUUUUAGACGGGACAAAACCCCUUUACGUGUAAAGGGUUGAUGGUACUGUCAGAAUAAGCAUCGGCUAACUUCGUGC
rnacentral:rRNA from 1 species